UACGUAGGGGGCGAGCGUUGUCCGGAGUUACUGGGCGUAAAGCGCACGCAGGCGGUCUGCUAAGUUUGGAGUGACAGUUGGUGGCUUAACUGCGAAAGUGCUUCGAAAACUGACAGACUUGAGGGCUUCAGAGGGACACGGAAUUCCGGGUGGAGUGGUGAAAUGCGUAGAGAUCCGGAGGAACACCAAAGGCGAAGGCAGUGUCCUGGGGAGUACCUGACGCUCAGGUGCGAAAGCCAGGGGAGCGAACGGG
rnacentral:rRNA from 1 species